rnacentral:rRNA from 1 species
UACGUAGGGGGCAAGCGUUGUCCGGAUUUAUUGGGCGUAAAGAGCGUGUAGGCGGUUUUACAGGUCCGCUGUGAAAACUCGAGGCUCAACCUCGAGCUGUCGGUGGAAACCGUAAGGCUAGAGUCCGGAAGAGGAGAGUGGAAUUCCUGGUGUAGCGGUGAAAUGCGCAGAUAUCAGGAGGAACACCGAUGGCGAAGGCAGAUCUCUGGGCCGUAACUGACGCUGGAGG